UCAUCGUAGGGUUAGUCGGGACCUAAGACAAGUCCGAAAGGGGUAGUCGAUGGCAAAUCGGUUAAUAUUCCGAUACCGACAUAGAUUUGAUUGAGUGAUGGGGGGACGCAUAGAGUUAGACGAGGUCACUGAUGGAAUAGUGGCUCGAAGGGUGUAGGUCGUGAGGUAGGCAAAUCCGCCUCACAUAAAGACCGAGACCUGAGAGGCCGACCAACCUCUUCGGAGGGCGGUCGGAAUCGUCGAUACUGUCGUGCCGAGAAAGGCCUCUAAACGAGAAUCUAUGUUGCCCGUACCGUAAACCGACACAGGUGGGUGAGAUGAGUAUUCUAAGGCGCGUGGAUGAACCCUGGUUAAGGAACUCUGCAAGUUAGCACCGUAUCUUCGGUAUAAGGUGUGCCCUUGGGGUGUAGGAGCGUAGCCUCCCAAGCCCCUAUGGGUCGCAGCAAAGAGUCCCUCCCGACUGUUUAC
rnacentral:rRNA from 1 species